rnacentral:rRNA from 1 species
UUUAUGGAGAGUUUGAUCCUGGCUCAGGAUGAACGCUGGCGGCGUGCCUAAUACAUGCAAGUCGAGCGAACUGACGAGGAGCUUGCUCCUUUGACGUUAGCGGCGGACGGGUGAGUAACACGUGGGUAACCUACCUAUAAGACUGGAAUAACUCCGGGAAACCGGGGCUAAUGCCGGAUAACAUGUUGAACCGCAUGGUUCAACAGUGAAAGACGGUMU